rnacentral:rRNA from 1 species
GGUUAAGCGACUAAGCGUACACGGUGGAUGCCCUGGCAGUCAGAGGCGAUGAAGGACGUGCUAAUCUGCGAAAAGCGUCGGUAAGGUGAUAUGAACCGUUAUAGCCGGCGAUAUCCGAAUGGGGAAACCCAGUGCAAUUCGUUGCACUAUCGUUUGAUGAAUACAUAGUCAAACGAGGCGAACCGGGGGAACUGAAACAUCUAAGUACCCCGAGGAAAAGAAAUCAACCGAGAUUCCCCCAGUAGCGGCGAGCGAACGGGGAGCAGCCCGGAGUCUGAAUCAGCUUGUGUGUUAGUGGAAGCGUCUGGAAAGUCGCAGGGUACAGGGUGAUACUCCCGUACACUAAAACGCACAGG